UAAUCCAAUUUUACUGGUGUCAUAAGGUGU
rnacentral:piRNA from 1 species